GGAGGAUCCAAGCGUUAUCCGGAAUCAUUGGGUUUAAAGGGUCCGUAGGCGGUUUUAUAAGUCAGUGGUGAAAUCCGGUAGCUCAACUAUCGAACUGCCAUUGAUACUGUAGAACUUGAAUUGCUGUGAAGUAACUAGAAUAUGUAGUGUAGCGGUGAAAUGCUUAGAUAUUACAUGGAAUACCAAUUGCGAAGGCAGGUUACUAACAUCAUAUUGACGCUGAUGGACGAAAGCGUGGGGAGCGAACAGGAUUAGAUACCCUGGUAGUCCACGCCGUAAACGAUGGAUACUAGCUGUUCGGUAGCAAUACUGAGUGGCUAAGCGAAAGUGAUAAGCAUCCCACCUGGGGAGUACGAACGCAAGUUUG
rnacentral:rRNA from 1 species